rnacentral:rRNA from 1 species
AGAACGAACGCUGGCGGCAUGCCUAACACAUGCAAGUCGAACGCUCUUGGGGCUUCGGUCUCAGGGGAGUGGCGCACGGGUGAGUAGCACGUGAGCAACCUGCCCCGAAGACUGGGAUAACACCGGGAAACCGGUGCUAAUACCAGAUGCCCCCACCGGAUCGCAUGAUCUGGUGAGGAAAUGGAUUCCGCUUCGGGAGGGCUCGCGGCCUAUCAGCUAGUUGGUGAGGUAACGGCUCACCAAGGCGACGACGGGUA